GACAGAGGGUGCAAACGUUGUUCGGAAUUACUGGGCGUAAAGCGUGUGUAGGCGGCUUUGCAAGUCUGAUGUGAAAGCCCUGGGCUCAACCUGGGAAUGGCAUUGGAUACUGGCGGGCUAGAGUGCGGUAGAGGGCAGUGGAAUUCCCGGUGUAGCAGUGAAAUGCGUAGAGAUCGGGAGGAACAUCUGUGGCGAAGGCGACUGCCUGGACCAGCACUGACACUGAGGCACGAAAGCGUGGGGAGCAAACAGGG
rnacentral:rRNA from 1 species